UCUGAGUCCUCCCUGGCUCAUCCUCUCUUUUCUUUUACCAUGAAGGCACUCCUGAGCAUCUGCCUCUUUGGUGGCCUCCUUUCUCCAGGGGCACUGAUGAGCUGUCAUCACUGUUUUGGAGAGGACUGUGCAAAACCAGGAAUUCAAGAGUGUGACGCUGACCAAGAGGCCUGUGUUUCAGUAGUGCUUGAAACCACACUAGGUAGCUCACUGAUGCCGAAGUACCACGUGACUUUCAUGCAAUGUUCUCCAGCUAGUUUCUGCUUGAACAACUAC